rnacentral:rRNA from 1 species
CCUACGGGCGGCAGCAGUGGGGAAUAUUGGACAAUGGGGGGAACCCUGAUCCAGCCAUGCCGCGUGUGUGAAGAAGGCCCUCGGGUUGUAAAGCACUUUCAGUGAGGAAGAACGCCUGGUGGUUAAUACCCAUCAGGAAAGACAUCACUCACAGAAGAAGCACCGGCUAACUCCGUGCCAGCAGCCGCGGUAAUACGGAGUGUGCGAGCGUUAAUCGGAAUUACUGGGCGUAAAGCGCGCGUAGGUGGCUUGAUAAGCCGGUUGUGAAAGCCCCGGGCUCAACCUGGGAACGGCAUCCGGAACUGUCAAGCUAGAGUGCAGGAGAGGAAGGUAGAAUUCCCGGUGUAGCGGUGAAAUGCGUAGAGAUCGGGAGGAAUACCAGUGGCGAAGGCGGCCUUCUGGACUGACACUGACACUGAGGUGCGAAAGCGUGGGUAGCAAACAGGAUUAGAUACCCUAGUAGUC